GGGGGGGGGGGGGGAGAAUGAAAUGAUACACAUUUUGUACCGACCAUUUUAGCAUCAGGUUUUUCCAUAACUAGAUAAGGUAUUGGGUAGAGAUUGAUUACAUGUAAUUGAUUAUUAAAAUGUCAAAAAUGUUUUGUCUAUAGAGCAUUUGUUUAUUCCUUUUUACACUCGACAGGGGUUUCAAAUGAACAUUACAAUUGUUUAUUCAGUUUUACACUUGACAAAGGUUUUAACAUAGAAACUUUUAAAUGCACAUUUUAAAUACAUAUAUCUAAUUAUUAUUAAAUGACAGGUAAUAAAGAAGGUCAAGAUAACUAAAAAUGAUUUCAGAACUUGGUGGAUCUAGAUAAGAAUCCUACCAAUGCUUUGUCCUUAACUGAAUACUGCUGUUAGCAAGUGUAUAUACUUAUAUUUGUUUAACUUUUUGAUUAAGCUUCUUUGCUCUCACAUCAGAAUGAGGACCAAUGAUUGGCAGUGGACUAUGUUAUUGUGCAAUAUAUAUAAUAAAGCUUUAGACAUUUGUGUGUUCACUACAUUGAAGUGCAAUAUGGUUUGUGUUAAGACAGGUAUAUAAAGUAUUCACUUCUCUGUCAAAGAUGAUGUACAGUCUCAAAUCUCACUUGUUAUUUUAAUACUCGUUUAAUGUAUUUCUCCAGCAUUUAUUUGUUUUUAAAAUACAGGGUGUAUACUAAGUUUGUUGCUCCACAAUUUAAAGAAUGAGUAUCGAAGAAUUUACACAGGACAUGUAUCAAUUUCUGUUUAUUAGUAUUGAUGCUUUAUAAUAACAUGAUGCAUUUCCUUUUUUUUUUCCAAAUUUAAACUUGUCAUUAUUACCCUUUAAUGUUUUUUUUUUUUAUUUUUUGCAGUUUUACAAAAUGUCAUAGUACUAAAAUGCAAUAAAUUUUGAUAGGUU